GGCACGGUGGCUGAGUGGUAAAGCGCUUGACUUCCAAACCGGCGGUGCCGAGUUCGAAUCUAGGUGAUGUUA
rnacentral:tRNA from 1 species